rnacentral:siRNA from 1 species
CUGCCCCUUUGUAGGUCAUCGCCU